rnacentral:lncRNA from 1 species
AGCCGCUGCAGCCCACCCCACCCCAGCAGCCACCACCCGCCUCUCAGCAGCCGCCAGCUCCUACAUCUCAGCUGCAACAGGCGCCUCAGCCCCAGCAGCACCAACCCCACUCCCACUCCCAGAACCAGAACCAACCAUCUCCAACCCAGCAGAGCUCCAGCCCCCCGCAGAAACCCAGUCAGUCUCCAGGACAUGGCCUGCCUUCACCGCUCACGCCACCCAAUCCUCUACAGCUGGUUAAUAAUCCACUAGCAAGUCAGGCU